UAGGGAAUCUUCCACAAUGGGCGCCAAGCCUGAUGGAGCAACACCGCGUGAGUGAAGAGGGGUUUCGGCUCGUAAAGCUCUGUUGUUAGAGAAGAACGUGCGUGAGAGCAACUGUUCACGCAGUGACGGUNUCUAACCAGAAAGUCACGGCUAACUACGUGCCCAC
rnacentral:rRNA from 1 species